AUUCAAGAUAAAGAUUCGUAUAAAAAUUUCGGAUCGGGUCGAUAUUGGAUAUCAGGUCAUCCGACUCCAUCGACAGCCCCGGAUCCGAAAAGAGUGGUCUUUGCGCCUACAUGUGUUCCCAAUCGGCGAGCCGGGGUGGAGGUUUCAACCGAGUCUUGGGUUCGGGAGAGGGCGGUGCUCCGCUUGGCCGCUCGAAAUGGCUUUCCUCUUCCAAAAGUUUCAAGAGGCUGUCAAAGUACUUGCAAAGAAUCGAAUGUUUGCUCGAGAUCCAAGACAUCUUCAGUUCGAAGCUGACAUAAACCGCCUGUUUCUUUAUACCAGUUACAAUCGUUUGGGAAAUAAUGCUGAAGAGAAUGAUGCCGACGAGAUCAUCGAGAUGGCAAACAAAGCCUCUGUUAAAGAUCAGCAGAAACAAGUCCAAGAAAACAUUCAUUUUCAAAUAAAAAACAUGUGUAAGAUCAUGGAUGAAAUUCUUUGUGUUGACAAUAAAAACAUCCUUGAUCCACCUAGUUCAAUUCCAUGCUCCCAGAAUGGUCCUCGACGACGAAGUGGGUUGAGUUUUGCCAUUGGCAAAGGAACUCCAUCUGCCAAUGAGCCUGUUGUACCUACAACGCAGCCUUUGACACGUUCGGAGUUGUCACAGUGUCUGAUGGAUCACCUUGGCUAUGCUCCUGAUAUCAAGCCAUCACAAAUUCCUCAUGAGGAAGCUGGCCAAGGUUUGUUCCUAAAUGGAGAGGCUGAUGUCGGAGCCAUCAUAGCAUUUUAUCCAGGGAUGAUCUAUUCGCCAGCUUACUAUCGGUAUAUUCCGGGGUAUCCCAGGGUUGAUGCUUCCAACUCCUAUCUUAUCACAAGGUAUGAUGGAAAUGUUAUUAAUGCACAACCUUGGGGUACUGGUGGUGAAACCCGAGAAUUAUGGGAUGGUUUUUACCACCCACAGUACAACCCAGAUACUUCUGAAGAAACUGGCAGAGGAUCCGACCGGAUGUGGAGAAUGCUUAGCAAGCCUUUGGAGGCCAGUAACAGAGGAACCAUUGGGGAAGUACUUGAGAGGCGCAACCCCCUAGCUUUUGGCCAUUUUGCCAACCAUCCACCUAAAGGGAUAGCCCCUAAUGUCAUGGUUUGCCCAUAUGAUUUCCCGUUGACUGAGAAAGACAUGAGAGUUUACAUUCCCAACCUUAUUUAUGGAGAUGAAGAAAGUAUCACAAUGAGGAGAUUUGGCACAUUUUGGUUCAGAUUAGGUAGUUCUGUUGAUCCUGAUGGAGAUUCUCCGGUGCUAAAGACACUCGUACUUGUUGCAACAAGGGCUUUGUGCAACGAGGAAGUGUUCUUGAACUACAGGCUGAGUAAUCAAAAGAGACGCCCGGCAUGGUAUACUCCAGUUGAUGAAGAAGAAGAUAAACGUAGAUGGAGCUAGUAAUGGGGUCUUUAGUCUCUUGUUGCUGACAUUUUGUUUGCAUUGUACGGUUGGUCCAGUUGCUGCUGUUACUUGGCAAACAUUGCAGUGAGGUCAUUACGAAUCUUAAUUGUUGGCUUUACUCUCUUCUCACAUAAUUCAGGUGAUUUGUGUCUCAAUUAAGACCUAAAGCUGGAAGGAGGAAGAACUCAUGUUUCAGUGGCAAGAGCAAGGAAAUCAAUCAAUCACAGGCCAUCUUUUCUUCAAUUGCUCCAUUUGACCACAGUGGCACACGUAAUAGACGGGAGGAUGAAGAAGCAUGCUGGUGAAGCUACCAAAUGCUGGCAAGUAUUAUUAUAGUAUAGGGUAGCUUAUACUCUAUAUAUCAACAAUGUAGUCAUGCAUCACGCAAGGUAGAAAGUAGAUAUCAUUUUGCAUUAAUUUGGUUAAUCACGAACUCAACAUGUGACUAAUAUUAGUUGGCCCAUUUGUUGGUAAGUUGGUUAGGACGAGUAAUGUGAGGAGAGUACGUCGUUGUCUUACCGUUUGUGAAUUUACGACUUGUUUUCUAAAUUUAGUAAUAAGGUCUACCAGUUUUUAUUUUA